AUUGAACGCUGGCGGCAGGCCUAACCCAUGCAAGUCGAGCGACCGGCGGACGGGUGAGUCAUGUCUGGGAAACUGCCGGAUGGAGGGGGAUCACUACUGGAAACGGUAGCUAAUACCGCAUACCAUCAGAUGUGCCCAGAUGGGAUUAGCUAGUAGGUGGGGUAACGGCUCACCUAGGCGACGAUCCCUAGCUGGUCUGAGAGGUUGACCAGUCACACUGUAACUGAGACACGGUCCAGACUCCUACGGUAGGCAGCAGUGGGGAAUAUUGAACAAUGGGCGCAAGCCUGAUGCAGCCAUGCCGCGUGUGUGAAGAAGGCUUUCGGGUUGUAACGCACUUUCAGCGGGGAGGCGUUACCCGCAGAAGAAGCACCGGCUAACUCCGUGCCAGCAGCCGCGGUAAUAC
rnacentral:rRNA from 1 species